GCCGGCAGCUAGCUCUCUGCAACUCUCACAUAGUCACCCACUGAAGCUAAGCAGGGCUGUGUGCCUGGUUAGUACCGGGAUGGGAGACCACAUGGGAAAUCUUGGUUGCUGCCGGAA
rnacentral:rRNA from 1 species